UACGAAGGGGGCUAGCGUUGUUCGGAAUUACUGGGCGUAAAGCGUGCGCAGGCGGCUUCUCAAGUCAGGGGUGAAAGCCCAGAGCUCAACUCUGGAAUUGCCUUUGAGACUGAGUGGCUUGAGUACGAGAGAGGUGAGUGGAAUUCCCAGUGUAGAGGUGAAAUUCGUAGAUAUUGGGAAGAACACCGGUGGCGAAGGCGGCUCACUGGCUCGUAACUGACGCUCAUGCACGACAGCCGUGGGGGAUCAAACAGG
rnacentral:rRNA from 1 species